ensembl:lncRNA
CUCUCUGGAGAUUGGAGAUAACAUGUCGGCCUUGGCCCCACAGGAGCUGGCCAUGUCCAAGGAUCCAGGAAUCAGUUAUUUUAUCUUCACGUCUGAUUCCUGAGGGACAAAUGCUGUCAGUCUCACUGUGGAUCGAAGCAGGGAAUAUGAUUUUAGUCAGAAAUUGCCUCCUGUCUGCUGCAAAUUGGACUGAGGAAGAGAGGAAGUUGAAUUUCCCAAAGCUGAGUCAAUUUUAGAUUUAAUCCUUGGAUUGGCUAAUUCAUUCAUUCCUUCACAUCCACGUAGUAGGCAUUUAUCGAGCAUUUAUUAGGUUAUUUAUUAGGCGUUGAGCAUAUAAAGCAAAAAGCAAUAAAAAAUUACCAAGAAUAAUCAAAGCAAUACUAACAGCUAAUAUUUCUCCAUGAAGCCCUUACUAAAGUCCAGGUGAGGGUUUAAGGGCUUUGCUUAAAUUAUUCUCACAACUCCAUGGGGUAGGUGCUAUUUCUGCACCAUUAUGUGCAUUAAGGAAACAGACUCAGAGAGGUUAAGAAACAUGUCCCUGUCAUGGAGCUAGUAGUUCCAGAGUAGAAUUGAAAACCAGGCCAUUUGGCUCCGGUCUCUCCCUCUACUCAAACUCCAGAUCUCAAAGAGCUUGCGCUUUCAUGAGGAAGAAAACCAAUAAAAAAAGAGAGAAAAGUUUAAUAAAGUGGAUAAUAUAUUGAGUGCUUGCUACAUGUAUGACUUCGUUCAAUCCUCACAAUCACUCUCUGAAGAGGACACUGUUAUCAUUUCUCUCCAUUUACAGAUGGGGAAACUGAGGCACCAAGCAGUUAUAGAACUUGCUUGAGUUCGCAUAGUGGGUGAAGGGUGGAGCCAAUGCUUGGAGGCAGGCGGUCUGGCCCCAUAGCCUAUGCUUUUGACCUUUUCUCUCUGUCUCCUGAUGUUGGGUAAAGUGAGCAUGCAGGGCUGUGAUCAGAAAGAAAAUGUAUCAAAAAUAGGUUGGAUGAGGUAGAGGAGGGGUCUUAUAAGAGGGGAGCUUGAGCUGAAUUCUGAAGGGCAUGCAGUAUUGGGCCAGGCGAAGAUUGGGAGGAGAGGAUGCCAGCCAUGGGAGCAGCCUAGGAGGGACGCGGAGGGAAGAGGGAGCCGUGUUUGUUCCAUCAAACUGCAAGUGAUUCUGUUUUGUUCUAAUACAAGGCAGGAUGGGGGAGUAAAAAAAACAUGAGGGGGAACGUUAGGUCCAAGCCAGGGUAUGAAAUGUCCUUGUAUGCCACGUGAAGGAGUCUGGGUCUUGUUCAGGUAACGAGGAGCCAUAGAUGGGGCUCUAGCAGAGCAGUAGCAGUGUCAGAUCCAUGCUUGAGAAUGAUCAUGCCAGCUUAUGGGCCAUCCAAAAGCUGGCACACCCGAGGAGCAGGCCAUCCCAGGCUCUCUUGCAAUGAGAAGACAGUAACUUGCAGGCUAGGAUGGUAGCAAGGAGGACAAAGACAAGUGGAGGGAUUCAAGCAAUUUUAGGAGGUAAACCAAAAGAAAAUACGAUUGGAUGCAUGUGGGGGGCGGAAGGAGAGGGGUGAAGGAUGACCUCAGGUUUUUGACUUGAGCAAGUGGGUAGAAGGUGGGCCGUUUCUUGAGGCAGGAGGCUGGAGCAGAUUUAGGCUUGACGAGGACAGGGUCCGAGGCAGAUGUGUGGAAUUUGAGGAGUUUGUGGGAAAACCUGAUGGAUGCCCAACAGGCAGUCUAAUGUACAAUCUGGAACCCAGGAGAGGGGAAAUCCAGACUGGUGUAAGAAUUGGGGGAGAGUGAGCUUAUUUAUAGGUGUUUUUUCAAACUUUGGAGUAGUUGAAGGUGUCAGUUCUAGGGUUAUGGGACCUCUUUACAGCUGGUAAACUCAUACCUGAAUCUCAGAAAUAAUCUCCUCAAAUAUAAUAGUUCAUUUUCUGUUGAAAAAUUCAAUAAUAUUCUGCAUCAGCCUAGCUCUUCGCAGUUUUCCCAGGGCUUUCAUAUACAUUAUUUCAUUAAAAUAAAGUCUGGUUGGCAACGCAGAGGAUGAGGGUUCAUCUCUAAAAAUAAGAAUGGCACUUUGAAGGUUUGUAUAACUUCCAGAUUGCUAGUUAGCCAGGGGCAGGGCUGGGAUGAGCACAGUGUUGCUCAGAUUUUGAUGUGCACUGGAAUUGCCUGGGGAUCUGGCAGAUUCUGAUUUAGGGUUGGUGAUGGUGUCAGUGGUGGUGGUAGUUGGUGACAUCAGUGGUGGGACUCUGUAUUCUAACAUACUCCCAGGUGAUGUCACUGCUUCUGCUCUGAGAUGCACUUUGAGUAUCAAAGGACUAGAGAACAGAUUUUCUCUCUCCUUGUUCAGCACCCUGUUCAUUAAGCCUUGUUGAGUCAAGAUCUAAAACUAAGAGUGGGCAACACAAGGUGAGCCAUUUACUGCUAGAAUUUCAAGGGAUGGAAUGUUUCUUAUCUUAGAAGUAAAACUUUGAGAACUUGCGAUUGACCUUACUCUUUUGCAGAUGAUAAAGCCAUGGUUUUUUGCAGAGAGGGAGCUGACACACCCAAAGAAACUGGCAUCUGGGUCAGAAUAAGAAAGGAUCCCUGGUUUCCUGGCUCAGAAUCCAGUGCUUGCCACACCUUGUUGUCCCCUUUGCAUAUUCCGAGGCAUAUGGAGUUCAACAGGAUCCAAGAGACUUGGGUAAAUGCCAAGUCAUGUGGGCUCCUUAAUCCUGAAGUUUGCCCUGCUGAGUCCAAUCUGGGAACAAUGUCCUGGCUUAGGGGUGAGGGGAGGGAAAGGUUUGUUUCAGGUAUAAUUAAUAAACAUACUCAAAUGCAAAAGGACAGAGAGGAGAGGUAUCACUUUUAAAAAAAAUAUUUUAUUGAGGCAACAUUGAUUUAAAAUUGUGUGAAUUUCAGGCAUAUAUUACUACAUUUCAGCUUCUGGAUAGACUGCAUCAUUUCACCACCAAUAGUCUAGUUUUUCUCCAUCACCAUAUAUAUGUGCCCCUUUACCUCUUUUGCCCUCCCACCACCCCCUUCCUCCCUGGUAAUCACCAAUCUGUUCUACUUAUCUAUUUAUUUGUUUAUCUUCCACAUAUGAGUGAAAUCAUACUGUAUUUGUCUUUCUCUGCCUGACUUAUUUUGCUUAGCAUAAUACCCUCAAGGUCCAUCCAUGUUGUUGCAAAUGGGACAAUUUUGUCUUUUUUAUGGCUGAGUAGUAUUCCAUUGUAUACAUAUACUGCAUCUUCUUUAUCCAUUCAUCUGUUGAUGGGCAUUUGGAUUGCUUCUAAGUCUUGGCUAUCGUGAAUAAUGCUGUGAUAAAUAUAGGAGCACGUAUAUCUUUUUGAAUUAGUGUUUUCAUGUUCUUUGGAUAAAUACCCAGAAGUGGAAGACCUGGAUGGUAUGGUAUUUCUAUUUUUAAUUUUUGAGGAAUCUCCAUACUGUUUUCCAUAUUGGCUGUACCAGUUUGCAUUUCCACCAGCAGUGUAUGAGGGUCCCUUUUCUCCACAUCCUCUCCAACACUUGUUAUGUCUUGUCUUGUUAAUAUUAGCCAUUCUGAAAGGUGUCCAUCACUUUGGGUGUUAAAACCAAAAGGUAUUAGGCCAAGUUCCAGUCCUGGGUUCUGACAGGGAAACUGGGUUGCCACUGGUCCCCGAUUUAGCUCUCCUCUGCCCCACUGCCUCGGAGUUACAGAGUUACACUUUUAAAGCCCGAUUAGUCCAGUUGCGAUGUGCCUUUUGUCACCAGCUACGGUAUCAUUUUUCAUGCACUCUUUAUGUUCAUAUUUAAGUCCAGUCAUCUUUAAUUUAAAUUUUGCUGAAAACAGCCAUAUUGCUGCAAGUGUAAAUGAAGGUAGAUGAACAUUAAUGGUGUCAGCUCACAGCUGUUCAUAAGUUAAAUAGUUAUUGCUCACCCCCCCCAGAUCUCUGUUUGAAAUGCCUAAAAUGUUCAAUUAGAAGCAUAAAGAGCUUUUCUUCAUCAUUGUUAUUAGGAUCAGGUUCAGGCUGAAGAACUUGCAUGUGCUAUGAGACACGGAAAUCAGACUGAAACUCCGUUAAUUAAACAGAACUAGUUUAUGUUUGAGAGGAGUCUGCAGAAGCUAUGUUGUUUUUGCAAAUUUAUUACAUUUUCUUCAAAGUGUCUAGAUUAAUGCUACAUUAAUUACUGGUGGGUAGGCACCCUGCAGCAUAUGUUGCUAUUAAUUGUAUCCAUUAUCACAAAAUAAACAUCUUUUUAUAAAAACAAAUGAUGCUUCAUUUUAAUAUGUGGCUUGAAACACCCUUCUCCACAGCCGUUGCUACUUCUGUUUGGGUGCUUUUGCUACAAAAGACCACCUGUUACAAUAGACAUUUCAUUUGUUUUUAUUUGAAAAAAAAAAAAAAAACCUCUUAGAAAACAAAACUCUGCCUCCUCAAAGUACAAUAAUCUUAAAAAAAAAAAAAAAAAAAAAAUGAAGACCCAGAGGAAAUUUGCAUUUUUCCCAUCAGAAUUUCUCAACACUAGGGUGGCCCAUACACCUUCAGUCUUUUAGCCCUGACCCCUUGGUCUGGAUCUGCUUGAUUUUUAGGUCUUGAAGGAUCUCAUUCUGCUGUAAACUUCUUUGUGUUGCAGAUGGAGAAACUGAGAGCAGUUGGUAUCGACUCAAGGCAGACCCAUUUUCCCCAACUCUGUAAUGGGUUCCUUUUGUUCUCCAGUAUUUAGCUUUUUGACUGCAUCAGCCUGUGGACUGCACUGACUGGCUGUGUGACCUUGGGAAAAUUUCCCAACCACUAUGAUCUUUGGUUUCCUUCACUCCAUAAAGGGAUGAAUAGCUAAUUCAUCAGAGUUGAUGUGAAGAUGAAAUGAAUUUAUGUAUUUCCUAGAAUAGUGCCUGGGAUGUGAUAGGUCCUCAAAAAUGGUGACUAUUGCAGUAAUAAUUGCUGUUGUUCUCAUUGCUGUUAGUUCAAGUAAUGCACAUUCCACAGUCCAUUCUUAAAGCAUUUGGUCUAAUGGUAAAUGACUUGUCACCACUAACGUGGAGCUCCUUCAGAGCCUUGAAGUGCUGCUUUUCUGUACUGUCCUUGCUCUAUGGUUGUUAUUCAGUGUUCAUGAACAAAAAAAUGUAACUAUAAAUUAAACUGAAGUUGAAUCGUAAAGGGACACGCUAUAUACAGUAGUAGUGACUAAAUCCAAAAAUUGAAAUUGCCAGCAAUUGUUGGGAAGACUUUCUUAUCAUUGGCCACUUUUCCACCCCUUUAAAUAAAAAGAAAAAUUAGCUUAGCAUUCUUAGACUGAUCACAAAUGAUCAAGGAUUUCAUUUUGCAUCUUAUGGAACCACAAUGCCAUUCGUUCAUUCAUUCAUUCAUUGACUUUGGAAUUCCUGUUUGUAGGGGAGGACUCUGCACAGAGGCACAGACGGUAGUAGUUGUACAAGAAAUGUGAAAUGCUUUCUUUCUUCAUGAACUGUAUGUGUGUGGAAUAAAAGUAGAUGGGACUACAGUCUCUCACCUUGGAAAAUUUGCAAUUUGGCUGAAAGGCAAAGGUGUGAUGCCUGACACAAGGUUCAGAACUCUUGGUUUAAGGAAAGAAAGUGGUCUGAGCCUUGGUCAUCAUUGGCCACUCUUGACAACACCCAUUUGCUGUAAGACCACUGGCCAUCUGCUUGGGUCAAGAAUGCACAUCUAAACUCUAAAAGAGAUUCGGCUUUGGAAGGUACAGUAUCCCUUCCUGUAACUCUGGAAGUUUGGAGGUGAAGAAACACAAGGCUGAGAGGGUGACUGGCCACCAAGAUCCAUUUUAUUAACACACCAUCCCAACAGGGCCUUUCUUCUACUCUGCUGUUGCUCUGUGGACUCUGGUGUCCCUUAAUCCUUGAGGUGAUGGUGUAGCCAAUGAUUUUCCCUUCCUGAGUGUGGGUGAGGGGGUGAAGGUUUGGUGAAGAGAAAGAGCAGAACUGAACCUUCUUCAGACUCUCGUUCCUCUGCUCCCUCUGUCUGCUCUCUGCUCCAGACCCCAGCAUAGCCCCUCCCAGCUUGUCUUUCACAGGUAUCCUCCAACUCGCAAGAACCUUCAGAUUCCCCAAGAGAUUCUCACAGUUUUGCUAUUGUUCAUUCUUCAGAUUCACGCUUCUCUCUUGCUUCAGUAGUUUCUCCAGGCG